UUUUAAAUAAAAAAUAAUAUAACUCUUUCAUAAUAAAUCAUAUAACUAUUAACCCGCACAAUGUGCGGAGAUACAACUAGUUUAUAAGAAAAAUGAGAAAUUAAACCUUAAGCUUAAGGCUUAGUACCAUAAAAUCUUUAAUGGGCUCUAUGGAUUAAUGGGACCCGAAGACCUAAUCCACUUGGCACGCAAAAUGAACCAGUGUGGCGGGAUGCAUAAUAGAAAAUUCCAUACCACUCUUGACACUGUCUCGAUGCAGGGCCCGAGAAAUCCAGUCACAACAAAGGAGUUCGAUAAAUUCUAACAUUUAAACUCACAUGAUUGAAAUAGAAAUCGAAAAUAAUUGUACAUCUGAGACUCAAAAUUUACUUAAAAUCUUUUAUCAUUACUGAGCCGUAAUUAAGAUAAAAAUUCAGCGUCUACGCACAACUUCAGAUUAUAUGUAUUUUCGAAAACCUUGGUAAAACCAACUCAUCUAGCUCCUUGACCUCCCCUUGCAUUUAUCAACAGUUGAGGAGCAUGAGAAGCCUCAGCCUCAUAGACACUUGGGUGAGACACUAGACCAAUGAUUCGGAGGAUCUAUUGAAACACAUUCCCAUCAUUAGCUUCUUUGGCCUCCCACCUUCUGGACAUGAAUAACUGCUUGAGAAGUACCCUUUGUUUUGCUAAAAUGUAAGCCACUUUUCCUUUAUCUCUUUUUUUAAUUAAUUAAUUAAUAAAAAUUAACUAACUAAUAAUAUAAAAUAAAAUAAAUGAAUUUGAGCUAUAAUUAAAUAAAUACACAAUUAAAUGAUUUAAUCUAAGCUCAAUCUGAAAACUAUAGUCCAAGUCCCAAAAAUCACAAAGUAGAUUCAAUAAUCUCAAAAAUCAAAUUUCUCUUAUUUGUUUUGAAUAAAUCUCUCUCAUGUAUAAAUCAAAUCCUCAAAUUCCUCUUGUUUGUUUUGGAUAAAUCUCUCUCAUAUAUAAAUCAAAUCCUUAAUCUCCUUUAUGCAUUAGAUGCUUGGGUGAAAUUCAAGGUAAAAACUCUUAAUUUUUCUAUUUAUUCUAAUCAACUUUUGCUUCUUUUAAAAUCAAAUUUUUGUUGGUUGUUUUGGAUAAAUUCUCACAUACAAAUCAAAUCCGUAAUUUCUCUCUCUAUUUGUAUGAUACUUGAUGAAAAUUCGAGGUAAACUUUUGUUUCUCUUAGUAAUUCCCAGUAUUCUUCAUUUUUUUAAAUAUUUGAAGAGAAGAAGUAUUUAAAACUUGAAGAUGAUAGAUUUUUAUUGGCUCUUAUUUGAAUCUUAUUUUUAUUUUUAAUUAUGCGAUAAUGUUAAUUUAUGUGUCUAAUCUUGUGAUUUUUUUUCUAUUUUGGUAUCUGAACGGAAAAUGUUAUCAAUUGAGUGUCUGAGCUUUUAAUUUUUUUCAAUUUGGUAUCUCCUGAUGACGCAGACAAUUAAAAAUUACAUCAAGAUUAUGCAGAAUCCACUUUUGCCUUGCUGGAAGCUCAUUUGAUCUGAUAUUUAAUCCACAUCGUGAUGCCAACAUGGCAAAUGAUUGGAAAUGACCAUCCUAACCUUAUUUAGUACUUGCAACCCUUAAUAAAACUAUUAUGAAAAGAAAAAAAAAAACUUGAUUUUUUUUGAAAGCUCUUAAUAUUCUUAUCAUUAUUCUUAUUUUAUAUAUAUAAAGGAGAAACGUUAUUUUUUUCUAUAUGUUGAUAUAACACUUUCUUAAGAAAGUGAAAUUAAUAAUAUUUGAGUAUUGUGAUUUAUCUUUUUUGUGAAUGUUUAACACUACAAAAAAUUUGCUCAUUUGCGACCGAAAAAUUAGUCGCAAACUGUAAAAAAUCGGUCGCUAAAUUAAAUAAAUAAAUAACAAAAUGCCUAUAAUUUCAAUCAAGUAGAUUACUAUUUAGCUUUCUAUAAUUCCCCUUUCUCUUAGGAUAAUGUAUUUGUGAUUGAAAAAAUUCAAUGAAUUAUAUUAUGAAUUUUAUAUUUAUAUUUUUUAAAAUCCCAGCUUUCCUUAAUGAUUGAAUAUUAAUAAUCAAAUGCAAGCUAGUUUCUGCGAUGAAUCUAAAUAGUGUUAUCAAGGCAGCCAGAAAAUAAAAAAACUAGCAUUUCAAAUAAUACACAGAGGCAGUCCUAUUAGAAACUGAAAAAAUUGAAUGCAGGCAUAAAAACAAGCUAUUUGUCUACCAAACUGAACAGAAAACAUAAUAAAAACAAGAUGUUUUCUUUGUAAGCUAAGAACUCCAGAAAAGAAAACAUAAUAAUAUCACGGAUACAUUGAACAUAUAUUGAACAGCAAAUCCCACAAGAAAAAUGAAAAAAAAGAAAAAAUUCACAUUCACAUUCAAAAAAUAAAAACGAAAUACACAAAAAACGACAUUGCAUUAACAUUCAACACGAAAUACACAAAAAAAAAAAAAAGGACAGAAGGACGCGUACCUGACUAGGCGAAUGUGAACGAAGGAGGAGGAACAAUCUCCGUCGACAACGGCUUCUCCAGCCACCGGCGCUUCAACAGAGCGGAGAAGGAGGCGACUGGGCUAGGAACGGCUGCGACAAAGAGUAGAAGGGGAAAGAAGGAGGUGUUGCGCUCGCGCAAGGUGACCAAGGGUGUAUAAAGUCCUAUUUUUUUGCAACCAACAAUCUAUUAAAAAAUUGAUCGCAAGUUUUAUUCAUGCGAUGCCAUUUUAUCAGAGAAAAUUGCGACUGAAUUGCGUCCAACUUCAUCGGUCGCAAAUAUAUUGGUCACAAAUUGGUCACAAAAUAAAAGUUAAAUUUGGCACCUACCUGCAGCGCGCAAUUUUGCAACAAGAUUUUAAACGGUGGCAAAUCCAUCUCAAAAUCGAUCGCAAAGUGGUCUCAAUACGGUCGCAAAAUCAAAACCAAACUGGCGGAAAUUAUUAGCACUAGAAUUAGCGACGGAUAUUAAGUCGAUCGCUAAUCCAUCGCAAAAUUUGUCGCCUUUUGAUCAUAAAUCCGUCAGUGUAUAUUUAAUCUCCCAUUCAUCGCAAUUGAUUGCAAUAUCAUCAUAAAAUUGCAACCGAUUUGCGUCGGU
rnacentral:lncRNA from 1 species